rnacentral:rRNA from 1 species
GCGUUACUCGGAAUUACUGGGCGUAAAGCGUGCGUAGGUGGUUUGUCAAGUCUGAUGUGAAAGCCCUGGGCUCAACCUGGGAAUGGCAUUGGAUACUGGCGAGCUAGAGUGCGGUAGAGGGUAGUGGAAUUCCCGGUGUAGCAGUGAAAUGCGUAGAGAUCGGGAGGAACAUCUGUGGCGAAGGCGACUACCUGGACCAGCACUGACACUGAGGCACGAAAGCGUGGGGAGCAAACAGG